UUAUGCUAUUGCUUACCUUUUCAGUAUCUGGUUCUUGUUACCUGUAUGGAUUGAUGGAUCAUGAAUGGAGUGAGGUGGUGAUCCAUGAAGAAGCUGAGGUCGUUGAACAACCAACCAAGGGCACAUAGGUCAAAGCCAUACAGAUCUUGCAUGCGUUGAUCAGUUGUUGCUUGGACCAAAGAUGAAGGAGCUGGACAGCCGACAGAAUCCACACAGGCCGGAGUUGAAGUGUUUUGAAUUCAUGUUGAUAUAUUUUUCGUAGAUGUGUUGAAGUGAGAAGAUGUAGCAAAAUCUGGAAUGUGUUGUUGAAGAGACCGACUAACCGAACGAAUGGAGAUAUUGUUAGCAGCUUGCAGGGAUUAGAAACAAGUCUUGUAUAUUUAUAUCCAGUACUUGAAUCUUGAUGAACAUGGCCGUCUCUUUUAUUAUAUUUGGAAACUUAGUUAUGUGGCUGUGACUGGUGAGAGAAGUUUAUUUUUUGCGAUUUCUAAUCAUUGGCACAUAUAAUAGCUGAUAUUUUGACCUGACG